UCUGGCGUGGCCGAGUGAUCUAAGGCGUUGGAUUUAGGCUCCAGUCUCUAUGGGGGCGUGGGUUCGAAUCCCACCGCUGCCAAGAA